UACGGAGGGUGCAAGCGUUAUCCGGAUUCACUGGGUUUAAAGGGUGCGUAGGCGGGCAGGUAAGUCCGUGGUGAAAUCUCUGAGCUUAACUCAGAAACUGCCAUGGAUACUAUUUGUCUUGAAUAUUGUGGAGGUAAGCGGAAUAUAUCAUGUAGCGGUGAAAUGCUUAGAUAUGAUAUAGAACACCGAUUGCGAAGGCAGCUUACUAAACAAUUAUUGACGCUGAGGCACGAAAGCGUGGGAUCAAACAGG
rnacentral:rRNA from 1 species